UACAGAGACCUCAAGCGUUAUCCGGAAUCAUUGGGCGUAAAGCGUACCGAUAGGUUGUUUUACAAGUCAGGAGUGAAAUCUCAAGGCUCAACUUUGAGACUGUCUCUUGAAACUGUAAAACUAGAGGGGUAAAGAGGAAGCUGGAACGAACGGUGUAGUAGUGAAAUGCGUUGAUAUCGUUCGGAACACCAAUAGCGAAGGCAGGCUUCUGGGUACCACCUGACACUGCUAGGACGAAAGCGUGGGGAGCGAAUGGG
rnacentral:rRNA from 1 species